AUUGAACGCUGGCGGCAUGCCUUACACAUGCAAGUCGAACGGCAGCGGACCUUCGGGUGCCGGCGAGUGGCGAACGGGUGAGUAAUAUAUCGGAACGUACCUUUCAGUGGGGGAUAACGUAGGGAAACUUACGCUAAUACCGCAUACGACCUACGGGUGAAAGUGGGGGACCUUCGGGCCUCACGCGAUGAGAUGAGCCGAUGCCGGAUUAGCUAGUUGGCGGGGUAAAGGCCCACCAAGGCGACGAUCCGUAGCUGGUCUGAGAGGAUGAUCAGCCACACUGGAACUGAGACACGGUCCAGACUCCUACGGGAGGCAGCAGUGGGGAAUAUUGGACAAUGGGGGGCAACCCUGAUCCAGCCAUGCCGCGUGUGUGAAGAAGGCCUUCGGGUUGUAAAGCACUUUUGUUGGGGAAGAAACCGGCCGGGUUAAUACCCUGGUUGAAUGACGGUACCCAAAGAAUAAGCACCGGCUAACUUCGUG
rnacentral:rRNA from 1 species